UGUUGGAGGGUUUGGGACCGCAAACCAGUGAAAGCCUUUUUCAUCUUUACUUGGGACAGAUCAUGCGCUUGAGGUCACUGGCAGUUAAUCUGAUCAGCUCUGCGAAUUGGUAAAGCUACUUACUGAACAGAGCCCCUGCACCAGUGAUGGGCGCCAUUACCCUUGUGCUUCUUGUGACUGUUGCGGUGGAGGGAAGGUUAUUGUGUCCAGAAAUCGGUCUGCUUGGGGCUCCCACAAACCUGACCUGCAUA